rnacentral:rRNA from 1 species
GAUUAACGCUAGCGGCAGGCCUAAUACAUGCAAGUUGAACGGCAGCACAGGUAGCAAUACUGGGUGGCGAGUGGCGCACGGGUGCGUAACACGUAUGCAACCUACCCUAUACAGGCGAAUAACCUUUAGAAAUGCGGGCUAAUACGCCGUAGUAUUACAGAUGGGCCUCUAUUUGUAAUUAAAGAUUUAUCGGUAUAGGAUGGGCAUGCGUCCCAUUAGUUAGUUGGUAAGGUAACGGCUUACCAAGACGAUGAUGGGUAGGGGAUCUGAGAGGACUUACCCCCACACUGGUACUGAGACACGGACCAGACUCCUACGGGAGGCAGCAGUAAGGAAUAUUGGGCAAUGGCCGCGAGGCUGACCCAGCCAUGCCGCGUGCAGGAAGACGGCCUUAUGGGUUGUAAACUGCUUUUAUACGGGAAUAAUAGAGUGUACGCGUACAUUUAUGCAAGUAUCGUAUGAAUAAGCAUCGGCUAACUCCGUG